rnacentral:rRNA from 1 species
UGAGUCCGCAUGUUCACAUGAUUAAAGGUAUUCCGGUAGACGAUGGGGAUGCGUUCCAUUAGAUAGUAGGCGGGGUAACGGCCCACCUAGUCUUCGAUGGAUAGGGGUUCUGAGAGGAAGGUCCCCCACAUUGGAACUGAGACACGGUCCAAACUCCUACGGGAGGCAGCAGUGAGGAAUAUUGGUCAAUGGGCGAGAGCCUGAACCAGCCAAGUAGCGUGAAGGAUGACUGCCCUAUGGGUUGUAAACUUCUUUUAUAAAGGAAUAAAGUCGGGUAUGGAUACCCGUUUGCAUGUACUUUAUGAAUAAGGAUCGGCUAACUCCGUGCCAGCAGCCGCGGUAAUACGGAGGAUCCGAGCGUUAUCCGGAUUUAUUGGGUUUAAAGGGAGCGUAGAUGGAUGUUUAAGUCAGUUGUGAAAGUUUGCGGCUCAACCGUAAAAUUGCAGUUGAUACUGGAUAUCUUGAGUGCAGUUGAGGCAGGCGGAAUUCGUGGUGUAGCGGUGAAAUGCUUAGAUAUCACGAAGAACUCCGAUUGCGAAGGCAGCCUGCUAAGCUGCAACUGACAUUGAGGCUCGAAAGUGUGGGUAUCAAACAGGAUUAGAUACCCUGGUAGUCCACACGGUAAACGAUGAAUACUCGCUGUUUGCGAUAUACAGCAAGCGG